AACGAACGCUGGCGGCAGGCUUAACACAUGCAAGUCGAACGCACCGCAAGGUGAGUGGCAGACGGGCGAGUAACACGUGGGGAUCUGCCCAAUGGUACGGAAUAGCUGCGGGAAAAUGGAAUUAAUACCGUAUGAGCCCGCGAGGGGAAAGCUUUAUCGCCGUUGGAUGAACCCGCGUCGGAUUAGCUAGUUGGAGUGGUAAAGGCGCACCAAGGCGACGAUCCGUAACUGGUCUGCAAGGAUGAUCAGCCACACUUGGCCUGAGCACACGCCCCCGCCUCCUACGGGAGGCAACAGAGGGGAAUAUUGUACAAUGGGCGCAAGCCUGAUCCAGCCAUGCCGCGUGAGUGAUGAAGGCCUUAGGGUUGUCAAGCUCUUUCGCCGACGAAGAUAAUGACAGUAGUCGGAGAAGAAGCCCCGGCUAACUUCGUGCCAGCCGCCGCCGUAACAC
rnacentral:rRNA from 1 species